GUCUAUGGCCAUACCACCCAGAACACGCCUGAUCUCAAAAGCCAAGCAGGGUCAGGCCUGGUUAGUAUUUGGAUGGGAGACUGCCUGGGAAUAACGGGUGCCAUAGGCA
rnacentral:rRNA from 1 species